CCGGCCUCUUCAUCAUCUUCUCGGUUUCAAAAGCUGCUGAGAAAACAAAAAGAACACGCAGACAAGUGAACACAGAAGGAAGAUAAGGGGAAGCAAUAGGCGAGAAUCCAUCAGCGCUGCAAGCAUCUUCGCCUCCCGAAGCAGUGCUUCUUGCAAGCAUAAUGAUGAAUUACAGGCUUUUCAAGCAGCUACAAUUGAACAAUUAUUUGAUGUUGGUGAGAUUGAAACGGGUAAAGGAGUUAAUCAAGUAGGUGGUUUGCAACGACCUGGAGAUAGCAGAUGGAGUUCACACUUCAAAUGAAUUUGCAAUUUGAUAAAAAUGUAUGGGGCAACUUGUUUGGUUCUUGAAAACAUCACUUUAGAUGGAUCUACUUAUUCUCAACGUGGCGAUGCGGCUUUUUCAUUUAAGUUGCUAAUGUCAUUUGAUUUUGCAUUCAUCUUGCAUAUAAUGAAGAAUGUUAUGGGAAUUACUUAUGUGCUCUGCCAAGCUUUGCAACGGAAAUCUCAAGACAUUUUGAAUGCUAUGCAUUUGGUGACUACCAUAAAGACUUUAAUUUAAAAGUUAAGGGAUGAUGGCUGGGAAACUCUUUUAGAAGAAGUGACAUCAUUUUGUAAGCAUCAAGACAUUGAAGUUCCUGAUAUGGAUGUUUGUUUUUCUAGUGUGGGACGAUCUCAUCGUAAAACAAAAUCAAUAACAGUUGAGCAUCACUAUCGAGUUGAUAUAUUUACAGCUAUCAUUGAUCAA